CUGAGUUUCUUGCUUUUCUAUAAGAGCAAGUGGUGCGCUACAUCCGCGUAGUUUCCUAGUUCUACACAAAAACUAGGUGGCGAGCAUAUUA
rnacentral:ncRNA from 1 species